UGGGGAAUAUUGGACAAUGGGCGAAAGCCUGAUCCAGCCAUGCCGCGUGAGUGACGAAGGCCUUAGGGUUGUAAAGCUCUUUUGGCGGGGAAGAUAAUGACGGUACCCGCAGAAUAAGCUCCGGCUAACUUCGUGCCAGCAGCCGCGGUAAUACGAAGGGAGCUAGCGUUGUUCGGAAUCACUGGGCGUAAAGCGCACGUAGGCGGAUUUGUCAGUCAGGGGUGAAAUCCCGGGGCUCAACCUCGGAACUGCCCUUGAUACAGCAAGUCUUGAGUUCGAGAGAGGUGGGUGGAAUUCCUAGUGUAGAGGUGAAAUUCGUAGAUAUUAGGAAGAACACCGGUGGCGAAGGCGGCCCACUGGCUCGAUACUGACGCUGAGGUGCGAAAGCGUGGGGAGCAAACGGGAUUAGAUACCCCUGUAGUCCCUGAGCGGGCUGGCAAGGCGCAU
rnacentral:rRNA from 1 species